rnacentral:rRNA from 1 species
GAGAUGGGAUAGCUAGCAAUAGUCUGUAUCGAGGUGCUGCAUGGUUGUCGUCAGCUCGUGCCGUGAGGUGUCGGCUUAAGUGCCAUAACGAGCGCAACCCUUGUCGUUAGUUACCAGUCAAGUAAAGUUGGGGACUCUAGCGAGACUGCCACCGUAAGGUGUGAGGAAGGGGGGAUGACGUCAAAUCAGCACGGCCCUUACUCCGGGGCGACACACGUGUUACAAUGGUAGGUACAGAGGGCCGCUACCCAGCGAUGGGGUGCUAAUCUCGAAAACCUAUCUCAGUUCGGAUCGGAGUCUGCAACUCGACUCCGUGAAGUUGGAUUCGCUAGUAAUCGCGCAUCAGCCAUGGCGCGGUGAAUACGUUCCCGGGCCUU